rnacentral:rRNA from 1 species
AGGAGCCCAGAGCCUGAAUCAGUGUGUGUGUUAGUGGAAGCGUCUGGAAAGGCGCGCGAUACAGGGUGACAGCCCCGUACACAAAAAUGCACAUGCUGUGAGCUCGAUGAGUAGGGCGGGACACGUGGUAUCCUGUCUGAAUAUGGGGGGACCAUCCUCCAAGGCUAAAUACUCCUGACUGACCGAUAGUGAACCAGUACCGUGAGGGAAAGGCGAAAAGAACCCCGGCGAGGGGAGUGAAAAAGAACCUGAAACCGUGUACGUACAAGCAGUGGGAGCACGCUCAGGCGUGUGACUGCGUACCUUUUGUAUAAUGGGUCAGCGACUUAUAUUCUGUAGCAAGGUUAACCGAAUAGGGGAGCCGAAGGGAAACCGAGUCUUAACUGGGCGUUAAGUUGCAGGGUAUAGACCCGAAACCCGGUGAUCUAGCCAUGGGCAGGUUGAAGGUUGGGUAACACUAACUGGAGGACCGAACCGACUAAUGUUGAAAAAUUAGCGGAUGACUUGUGGCUGGGGGUGAAAGGCCAAUCAAACCGGGAGAUAGCUGGUUCUCCCCGAAAGCUAUUUAGGUAGCGCCUCGUGAAUUCAUCUCCGGGGGUAGAGCACUGUUUCGGCAAGGGGGUCAUCCCGACUUACCAACCCGAUGCAAACUGCGAAUACCGGAGAAUGUUAUCACGGGAGACACACGGCGGGUGCUAACGUCCGUCGUGAAGAGGGAAACAACCCAGACCGCCAGCUAAGGUCCCAAAGUCAUGGUUAAGUGGGAAACGAUGUGGGAAGGCCCAGACAGCCAGGAUGUUGGCUUAGAAGCAGCCAUCAUUUAAAGAAAGCGUAAUAGCUCACUGGUCGAGUCGGCCUGCGCGGAAGAUGUAACGGGGCUAAACCAUGCACCGAAGCUGCGGCAGCGACGCUUAUGCGUUGUUGGGUAGGGGAGCGUUCUGUAAGCCUGUGAAGGUGUGCUGUGAGGCAUGCUGGAGGUAUCAGAAGUGCGAAUGCUGACAUAAGUAACGAUAAAGCGGGUGAAAAGCCCGCUCGCCGGAAGACCAAGGGUUCCUGUCCAACGUUAAUCGGGGCAGGGUGAGUCGACCCCUAAGGCGAGGCCGAAAGGCGUAGUCGAUGGGAAACAGGUUAAUAUUCCUGUACUUGGUGUUACUGCGAAGGGGGGACGGAGAAGGCUAUGUUGGCCGGGCGACGGUUGUCCCGGUUUAAGCGUGUAGGCUGGUUUUCCAGGCAAAUCCGGAAAAUCAAGGCUGAGGCGUGAUGACGAGGCACUACGGUGCUGAAGCAACAAAUGCCCUGCUUCCAGGAAAAGCCUCUAAGCAUCAGGUAACAUCAAAUCGUACCCCAAACCGACACAGGUGGUCAGGUAGAGAAUACCAAGGCGCUUGAGAGAACUCGGGUGAAGGAACUAGGCAAAAUGGUGCCGUAACU